rnacentral:rRNA from 1 species
GACGAACGCUGGCGGCGUGCCUAAUACAUGCAAGUAGGACGCACAGUUUAUACCGUAGCUUGCUACACCAUAGACUGUGAGUUGCGAACGGGUGAGUAACGCGUAGGUAACCUGCCUAUUAGAGGGGGAUAACUAUUGGAAACGAUAGCUAAUACCGCAUAACAGUAUGUAACACAUGUUAGAUGCUUGAAAGAUGCAAUUGCAUCGCUAGUAGAUGGACCUGCGUUGUAUUAGCUAGUAGGUAGGGUAAUGGCCUACCUAGGCGACGAUACAUAGCCGACCUGAGAGGGUGAUCGGCCACACUGGGACUGAGACACGGCCCAGACUCCUACGGGAGGCAGCAGUAGGGAAUCUUCGGCAAUGGGGGGAACCCUGACCGAGCAACGCCGCGUGAGUGAAGAAGGUUUUCGGAUCGUAAAGCUCUGUUGUUAAGGAAGAACGAGUGUGAGAAUGGAAAGUUCAUACUGUGACCGGUACUAAACCAGAAAAGGGAC